rnacentral:rRNA from 1 species
GGAAUCUUCCACAAUGGACGCAAGUCUGAUGGAGCAACGCCGCGUGAGUGAAGAAGGGUUUCGGCUCGUAAAGCUCUGUUGUUAAAGAAGAACGUGGGUAAGAGUAACUGUUUACCCAGUGACGGUAUUUAACCAGAAAGCCACGGCUAACUACGUACCAG